rnacentral:rRNA from 1 species
GAUGAACGCUGGCGGCGUGCCUAAUACAUGCAAGUCGAGCGAACAGAUGAGGAGCUUGCUCCUCUGACGUUAGCGGCGCUCGGGUUAAUAACACGAGGAUAACCCACAUAUAAGACUGGUAUCACCUCGGGAAACCGGCGCUAAUCCUGGAUAAUAUCUUGCUCCGCAUGGUUCAUUAGUGACAGACGGUUUUGCUGUAUCUUAUAGAUGGAUCCGCGCCUCAUUAGCUAGUUGGUAAGGUAACGGCUUACCAAGGCGACGAUGCGUAGCCGACGUGAGAGGCUGAUCGGCCACACCGGAAGUUAGACGCGCACCAGACUCCUAAGGGAGGCAGCAGUAGAGAAACUGGCGCAAUAGGCGAAAGCCUAACGAAGCAACACGGCGUGGGAAAUGAUGGGCUGCCGAGCGUAAGACUCGGUUAAUGGGGAAGAACAGAUGUCUAAUGAACUAUGCACAUCUUGACGGUACCAGCUCAGAAAGCCACGGCUAACUACGUG